UAAUAUAUUAAUAUUUUUUUAAGUUAUGCUAAAUAUUAUAAUCCAAUAGUUAUUAUCAGUCACAUUAAUAUCAUAGUUAACAUCUGUCUGGGUUGUUUAUUAAAUCAAAUAAUAGACUUUGUUUUACAUAGAAAGUUAAUAAUGUGACGAGAAACAAAUUUUAAUUUUGUUUUCUGUAAUAAAAAUGGAAUCACGUAUCAUACGUAAUUGUUAUUAUAUUUUAUAAAACAGGAUUUGUGUAGAUAACAUUAUUGUGUAUAAAAUUUGCAUCGUAACUUAAGCUAAAUUUCUAGUUUUAACUUUCUUUAUGCAUUUCCCAUAUAUUGGGCGAUACGCGUUACUCGCAAUAUCGAAAAGAGAGAGUCGUCGCAUUAUCGAUUAUUUGUGUAGGCAAUCGAUAUGUAAUAACUGGCGCGUAUCCAGUUUAUCGCACGAUACCAAAGCACGAUACCAGUAUCGAAUCUUUUUACACUAUCGUGCUGCACGGAAAAGAUGACUGGCAGCAAGAAUGCUGCAAAAUGAUUCGACGUACCUACCGCGCGGUGUGGCGUUACUUUCGAUGCGUGAAGUUAACCGCGCAACGCGGCGUCACUUUUGACGCGUGAAGUUGACCCGCGAGAGUGACGAAGCCGUUCCACUCCACCUUUUUGCGUGUCGCUGUAGAACGUAACGGAUGCAAGGUGGAUCAGCACCGGAACAAGCAGAAUCGCGAAUCUCUUAAUUGAUCGCGGCAAGCAGCGGAAAGUCUGACAUGGAUCGGUGCCGGAGAAAUGUCGCGCCAUAUCUACUCGAUCGUGACAAUCCUGACAUGGAACGGUUCCAAAAGAUAUCGCGAUAUUCAUUUGGUAAGUAGCAUUUACAUUACAGUAUUUGAUUAGCCAAUAAUAUACGGCAAAUGCAUUCCGCUUUUAACAUUACAUUUCAUGUAUAUUGAACAAUAAAUAAUAGACUUGUCGUUUAUCUUUAAUAAUUAUUAUUUCAUAUCGUAAUAUUUGAGUUAAUUAGCUGAAUUAUUUGAAACAAUGUAAUAUAUAUAUAUUCUAUUAAAUGAGUGACUUUUGAAAUAUAUUUAAUU